GAUGAACGCUAGCUACAGGCUUAACACAUGCAAGUCGAGGGGAAACGACAUUGGAAGCUUGCUUCCGAUGGGCGUCGACCGGCGCACGGGUGAGUAACGCGUAUCCAACCUGCCCAUCACUUGGGGAUAACCUUGCGAAAGUAAGACUAAUACCCAAUGAUAUCUCUAGAAGACAUCUGAAAGGGGUUAAAGAUUUAUCGGUGAUGGAUGGGGAUGCGUCUGAUUAGCUUGUUGGCGGGGUAACGGCCCACCAAGGCGACGAUCAGUAGGGGUUCUAGGAGGAAGGUCCCCCACAUUGGAACUGAGACACGGCCCAAACUCCUACGGGAGGCAGCAGUGAGGAAUAUUGGUCAAUGGGCGAGAGCCUGAACCAGCCAAGUAGCGUGCAGGAUGACGGCCCUAUGGGUUGUAAACUGCUUUUAUAAGGGAAUAAAGUGAGUCUCGUGAGACUUUUUGCAUGUACCUUAUGAAUAAGGACCGGCUAAUUCCGUGCCAGCAGCCGCCGUAA
rnacentral:rRNA from 1 species